GUCAUGCUACCUCCGUCCGGAAUUAUUUGUCUGAGAAAUGGAUGUAUCUAGACAUACUUUAGUUCUUGUUACAUCCAUUUUUAUUCAUUUAUGCAACAAGUAAUUCCGGACAGAGGGAGUGUGCU
rfam:Triticum aestivum genome assembly, contig: Triticum_aestivum_CS42_TGACv1_scaffold_223014_3B